GGUCAAUCCCGUGUUAAUCCAGAUUAAUUCCCAUGUCAAUCCCGUGUCAAUUGCAUGUCAAUCCCAUGUUAAUCCAGAUUCAAUCCCAUGCCAAUCCCAUGUCAAUCCCAUGUUAAUCCCGUGUCAAUCCAGAUUCAAUCCUGUAUCAAUCCAGAUUCCACCCCGUGUCAAUCCCAUGUUAAUCCAGAUUUAAUCCCGUGUCAGUCCCAUGUUAAUCCAGAUUCCACCCCGUGCUAAUCCCGUGCCAAUCCCAUGUUAAUCCCGUGCCAAUCCCGUGCUAAUCCCAUGUUAAUCCCGUGCCAAUCCCAUGUUAAUCCGGUGUUAAUCCCGUGUUAAUCCCGUGUCCGUCCCGUGUUGCCCCCCAGGACCACCCCCCGUGGGACCACCGCCUCAUUAACCUCGGGCAUUAAUCACCCCUCCCCUAAUCACCCCCUCGCCCACAAUUAACGCCGUGUGCCUAAUUAAUUAAUUACCG
rnacentral:lncRNA from 1 species